rnacentral:rRNA from 1 species
AUUGAACGCUGGCGGCAUGCCUUACACAUGCAAGUCGAACGGCAGCACGGGGGCAACCCUGGUGGCGAGUGGCGAACGGGUGAGUAAUGCAUCGGAACGUGCCCAGUAGUGGGGGAUAACCAGUCGAAAGACUGGCUAAUACCGCAUACGACCUACGGGUGAAAGCGGGGGACCGUAAGGCCUCGCGCUAUUGGAGCGGCCGAUGUCUGAUUGGCUAGUUGGCGGGGUAAGAGCCCACCAAGGCGACGAUCAGUAGCUGGUCUGAGAGGACGACCAGCCACACUGGGACUGAGACACGGCCCAGACUCCUACGGGAGGCAGCAGUGGGGAAUUUUGGACAAUGGGCGCAAGCCUGAUCCAGCCAUGCCGCGUGCGGGAAGAAGGCCUUCGGGUUGUAAACCGCUUUUGGCAGGAACGAAACGGCGCAAGCCAAUACCUUGCGCUAAUGACGGUACCUGCAGAAUAAGCACCGGCUAACCACGUGCCAGCCGCCGCCGUAAGAC